rnacentral:rRNA from 1 species
UCCUACGGGAGGCAGCAGUAAGGAAUAUUCCACAAUGAGCGAAAGCUUGAUGGAGCGACACAGAGUGCAGGAUGAAGUCUUUAGGGAUGUAAACUGCUGUUGUAAGGGAAGAAAAAACUAGAUAGGAAAUGAUUUAGUCUUGACGGUACCUUAUUAGAAAGUGACGGCAAACUAUGUGCCAGCAGCCGCGGUAAUACAUAGGUCGCAAGCGUUAUCCGGAAUUAUUGGGCGUAAAGCGUCCGCAGGUUUUUUGUUAAGUUUAAGGUUAAAUGCUAAAGCUCAACUUUAGUUCGCUUUAGAUACUGACAAAAUAGAAUUAUGAAGAGGUUAGCGGAAUUCCUAGUGGAGCGGUGGAAUGCGUAGAUAUUAGGAAGAACACCAAUAGGCGAAGGCAGCCAACUGGUCAUAUAUUGACACUAAUGGAUGAAAGCGUGGGGAGCAAACAGGAUUAGAUACCCUGGUAGUCC